rnacentral:rRNA from 1 species
ACAGUGAUGUGGAGCAAAACACAAAAAGACAGUCUCAGUUCAGAUUGUAGGCUGAAACUCGCCUAUAUGAAGUCGGAAUUGCUAGUAAUCGCAGAUCAGCAUGCUGCGGUGAAUACGUUCCCGGGCCUUGUACACACCGCCCGUCACACCAUGAGAGUUGGCAAUACCCAACGUACGUGAUCUAACCCGCAAGGGAGGAAGCGUCCUAAGGUAGGGUCAGCGAUUGGGGUGAAGUCGUAACAAGGUACC